GACGCUGGCGGCAGGCUUAACACAUGCAAGUCGAGCGGGGUGAUGUAGCUUGCUACAUUACCUAGCGGCGGACGGGUGAGUAAUGCUUAGGAAUCUGCCUAUUAGUGGGGGACAACAUUCCGAAAGGGAUGCUAAUACCGCAUACGUCCUACGGGAGAAAGCAGGGGACCUUCGGGCCUUGCGCUAAUAGAUGAGCCUAAGUCGGAUUAGCUAGUUGGUGGGGUAAAGGCCUACCAAGGCGACGAUCUGUAGCGGGUCUGAGAGGAUGAUCCGCCACACUGGGACUGAGACACGGCCCAGACUCCUACGGGAGGCAGCAGUGGGGAAUAUUGGACAAUGGGGGGAACCCUGAUCCAGCCAUGCCGCGUGUGUGAAGAAGGCCUUAUGGUUGUAAAGCACUUUAAGCGAGGAGGAGGCUACCUAGAUUAAUACUCUAGGAUAGUGGACGUUACUCGCAGAAUAAGCACCGGCUAACUCUGUGCCAGCAGCCGCGGUAAUACAGAGGGUGCGAGCGUUAAUCGGAUUUACUGGGCGUAAAGCGUGCGUAGGUGGCUAAUUAAGUCAAAUGUGAAAUCCCCGAGCUUAACUUGGGAAUUGCAUUCGAUACUGGUUAGCUAGAGUAUGGGAGAGGAUGGUAGAAAUCCAGGUGUAGCGGUGAAAUGCGUAGAGAUCUGGAGGAAUACCGAUGGCGAAGGCAGCCAUCUGGCCUAAUACUGACACUGAGGUACGAAAGCAUGGGGAGCAAACAGGAUUAG
rnacentral:rRNA from 1 species